AAGUGCAGAAAAUGAGGGUUGAAAUGGCUGCCAUGAAGAGGGACGCUGAGCAUUAUUCACGCCAGGUAACUGUUAAGAUUGAUUCACCUUUUAAUUAGAAGUGUGGUUGUCAAUUGUAUUGAUGAUGUAUAAACUGAAAGCGCUUAUUAUAGUGACUGUUGAACUUAGUGAAGCCUUGAAUUUCAUUGCUUAUUUGAUUUAUGUAGUUGUAUAUCAACUAUCAAGUUAUAUGGCACUGAUUUACUGUUGUUGAUAUCUUAUUUCUUAAAUUUUCCAUCUCAUCUGAAACUGUGAUGAAAUUCAGUUCAUCAGUUGCUUUCCAUAUGCUAGUUUAUAAAGUAUAUUUCAAACCAGGCAUUAUUUUAUUUUCUAACCCUCAUUUUUUAGCAUACUUUUCUUAACAUGGAAGAAUAAGCUAUGAUUUUGACCUUGGUGUUGAUGGAAGUCGCAUUAUUUAACACCAAAACCCAUAUUUUACGGGUUUUUCAAAGAAGAAAAAUGCUGAGAAUAGAUGGUCUCUGCAAAAAGAUGGGCUACAAGGACGCCAAGUUACUGAUGCUUUACGGGUAUUAGAUUUAUCCUUUUUCAUCUGUUUCUUGUGUGUUCCUAGCUUUCAUUGUAAAAUGGGAUAGCUAAAUUAUAUGGUUUCUGCGUGCUCCAAAUUCCUGAAAAAAGGUUGAGAACAUUGGCAAGUAAAUUUUUAGAGAAAGUUCUAUGAAGUUUUUUAUGGAUUCUGUGGCGCAGACCCAUAUUUUUUAUUUUGGCAUAUCAUGUAAUUGUUGUACAAGUAAAAAGUAGACUGAAUCAGUUUACUAUGAAGUUUUUAGAGAAAGGUCUAUGAAGUUUUAAAAAUAUAUAUACAUUUGUUUCAAUUUAUUCUGUUGAGUUUACUUGAAAAUUUGUGGAAUUAUGUAUUACUUGCUUUAUUUUUUUAAUAGCUUAUACUGUUAGUGAAUUAGAUAGAUUUACUCCCUGUUAUACCUAUAUCUAAGUUGAAAUUAUAUAUAUGCCUUUGCAUUCCAAAUAUGAAAAAUUGGAAAUUAGGCAUAGCCUAUUGAAAUUGGUGUUUUGAUAUGAAUGUGUUAUGCUUCUGUUUGUGCAAAUCUGCAUCGUACCAUGGUAGGAUAUUCAACAUUUGAGUUUGUGUUGAACAAAUAAGCAAUGGAAGUGCUUUGUAGGAUUAUCAAAGGAAUUCUCACCAAUAAGGUUUGUUUUACAUGAUUUUUUUAUGUGCAAUUGUUUUUACUAUCAAAUUCUUGCUCAUAUUUUAGUUUAAUAGAUUUUCAUUUUUGAGAUGGUUAUAAUGGGGGUUUUAUUCUACCAAUCAGUUGGUGGGUCUUUUUUUUGUCCUUUUUCAUUUUCUACUUUUUUUUCUGGUUUUGUAAUGGUGAAUGCAGUAUGGUUGAUGGUUUUGUAGGGGAAGAAGUUCUAUUAAUAGGUAUUUACAAUGGAAGAGUGGUAAGGUUUGGAGCAAGUUAUUUUCAGCUGGGGAUGAUUCUUGUAAUUCUUGUUCUGAAUUGGAGCCAGCUUUAUGCAGGAUUUAUAUCUCAUUCUCAUGCAACAUGCUACCACUUGGGUGAUACAGGUUAAAAAGUUGUAGCAGCAGUUGCAGAAAGAGACCGAUUUGCACUUAGCUCUAGCAAGAUAAGGCCCAGGAGCUUUUAGAUAGCAUAGCUGUUCUCGAGAUUACCGUAGCAAAGUUACAGCAAGCAUUACACCAAGGACCGUGUUAAUUUUGUUGGCUGGAAGGUUUAUGGGGAAGAGAGUUGUUUUCUUGAAGCAACUUACGUCUGGGCUCCUUUUGGUCACCGGUGGGCAUUACAUAUUUUACUGCUAUCCUUGUUUCGUCAUUGAUUUGCUUACUUCUUGAAAAUAUUGGAUGUAUGAUAUAUGUUAUUCAAUUGCGAGCUGGAUAUAUGAACAUGUUUGUUAAAACCCUUGUUAUUGAUUUCUGCAGUAUUACUUCCAUAGUUUCUCA